GCCAUGCUCAAAUGCUUAUUUUCGUGAAGACUUUUUUGAGGAGAUGCAGCCAACCACUUUGCAAUAGGGUCCCCUUCUGGAACCAACCACCAUAUAUCACCAAAUGUUGACUUCCCAUCAAAACCACCAAACAAUAGAUAUCGUGAACCAAUACAUGUAAUUGUGUGGUAUGCUCGAGCAAGAGGGGGAUCACCACUGGUAGGUAACCGUUUCCACUGUGCAGACACCCUGUCUAAAACAAUGCAGUCAUUGUAAUAGAUGUCAUAACGACUCAACCAACCACCUGUCCCAUGCCCACCAAACAGCAAGAGAUAGUGGCCUCCAGAUGUUAUAGUGUGGCCACAACGAGGAGAAGGAGCUUGACCAGGAAGCUUCAAUUGGGUCCAUCCAGGAGUUUCAAUCUCUUCUUCAAUAACACCCUUCAGAGCCCACAAAUCACCCAUGAUUGGCCCACCGCCACCUCUGCCACCAUAAAUAAGCAACCGUUUCUCAACCAUGGUUGCUGUGUGGCCACAUCUAGGUGGAGGCAAUGCUCCAGUAACUGACAGCUCCAUCCACUCAAGUGAUAUUGUGUCCAAGACAUAAACAUCUGACAACCACUUCUUGCCAUCCCACCCACCGUACAUAACGAUUUUCCGGUUUCCAAUAGAUGCAGCUGCAGCAAAAUCCCUUGGAGAAGGCAAGUCACCGAAACUAGUUAGCUCUGA
rnacentral:misc_RNA from 1 species